CCGGAAAUCAAAUGGGAAGGGUUCCCUCCUGUUCCAAGUGAGUUCCAGAAGAAUUACUCAUGCUCCUUAACCUAUGAGUCACACAGGAGUCUAGGAGAGUGUUUCCAAAACAGGCCGACAAUAAGAUAAACAGAGCAAUUGAUAUGUGACAGUCUGGAGGGGCAGGACUGCAACUGACCAAAGCAAGUGACUGAGUCUAGAGCAAGAGGACAGUCAGCCUAGGAUGCCUGAGCUUCCCUGGAGAAUCUGUGGACAACCAGACCUCAGCAAACCAACUCAGAGCAUUUCCUGAAAAUGAACAUCCGCCCCGAGGGAAUGCUGUGUGAGUGUUUCCCACAGAGCGAGGUGGCAUCUGCCUAGCUGGAGGGCUGGCAGCACACCGAAUCUGCCUGCAGUGGAUUUUGAAACGUGGAACUGUGGCUAGUGGGAUGUCAAACAGACUGAGAGCUGCUUGCCAUGAUGGAGAUGAGGAAUGUAAGUCCAGCAUGGUGAAAAUGGUCUUGGAACCACAUGUCUUGCUUGAGUCAGUAUUCUUCAAGCACAAAAGAAUGCCCCAGACCGCCUUGCCUUUGACUGAGCCCCGGCCCUCCCAAACUCCAGUGAUGGAGCCCUCAGGAAUUGCCUGUUCCACAACCACCAAACCACCCGAGCUCUUCAACUCCUCCCCUGCGUGCUCCUUCC
rnacentral:lncRNA from 1 species